AGCCUGAACGCUGGCGGCGUGGCUAAGACAUGCAAGUCGUACGGAGGUAGCAAUACCUCAGUGGCGAACGGGUGAGUAAUGAAUCGCUAACGUGCCCUGGACUUCGGGAUAGCUAUCCGAAAGGGUAGGUAAUACCGGGUGAUAUACCCUUUCCGCAUGGAAGGGGUCUCAAAGGUCCGCCGGUCUUCGGUGGAUGGUCUGGGAGCGGGCGAUUUCGUAUCAGCUAGUUGGUGGGGUAACGGCCCACCAAGGCGACGACGCGUAGCCGGACUGAGAGGUUGGCCGGCCACAUUGGGACUGAGACACUGCCCAGACUCCUACGGGGGCUGCAGUAACGAAUCUUCCGCAAUGCACGAAAGUGUGACGGAGCGACGCCGCGUGGAGGACGAAGUUCUCGGAAUGUAAACUCCUGUCAGGGGAAGAAAGUUCUGAUCUACCCCAGAGGAAGAGGCGGCUAACUCUGCGCCAGCAGCCGC
rnacentral:rRNA from 1 species